AACGAACGCUGGCGGCAUGCCUAACACAUGCAAGUCGAACGAAGUCUUCGGACUUAGUGGCGGACGGGUGAGUAACACGUGGGAACGUACCUUUUGGUUCGGAACAACUCAGGGAAACUUGAGCUAAUACCGGAUGAGCCCUUAGGGGGAAAGAUUUAUCGCCGAAAGAGCGGCCCGCGUUAGAUUAGCUAGUUGGUGAGGUAAAGGCUCACCAAGGCUACGAUCUAUAGCUGGUCUGAGAGGAUGAUCAGCCACAUUGGGACUGAGACACGGCCCAAACUCCUACGGGAGGCAGCAGUGGGGAAUCUUGCGCAAUGGGCGAAAGCCUGACGCAGCCAUGCCGCGUGAAUGAUGAAGGUCUUAGGAUUGUAAAAUUCUUUUACCAGGGACGAUAAUGACGGUACCUGGAGAAAAAGCCCCGGCUAACUUCGUGCCAGCAGCCGCCGUAAUAC
rnacentral:rRNA from 1 species